rnacentral:lncRNA from 1 species
GCCAGAUACAUAAGCAACAUUCUUCGCUAUUGACCGAGGUAUGUACUGUUACAAGGUUAUGCUCUUUGGUCCUAAAAAUGCAAGCUCUAGGUAGUGACCACCCAUCGCAGAUAUACCAAGCAUGAUCACUCCUAGCAUGUGUAUGGUCCCCCAUCGCGGAUAUACCAAGCAAGACCAUCCAUGUACCACUACUACAUGGUGCAAUCUCAUCAUCACACUUUAUACAUAAUUAUACGCACACAUGAUAUCAAUUCCACAUAUCAACCAGCAUCUAGUCAUGUGGAGCACAACACAAAUAAUUCCCUUAAUCACUAUUUCUACUAAAAAUCUAAUAAAUUACCUAACUCAUCUCCGGACUUUCAUCUCCAUCUCAUGGUAGGUAGUAAUGCCAAGUUCAAAUAGGUCUUCAGUUGGCAAUCAUAUCCAAAUAAUUAUCAAACAAUAUUGAGAUCCCAUAAUUGUCAUAACAUUCAUCAUAAUUAUCAAUCACAUUAUUAAAAAGAUAAUUAAACACAUAACACAAACAUCAUUAGUACACAAGCCAAAUCAUAUUUAAUAAGCAUAGGUCUAUGGCUAAAUAUAUAAAAAUCACAUUUCAAUAGAAAUCAUAUUUAUAAGACCAAUUCAUAUUCACAAUGUUACUAAUAUAAGAAAUUAAAGUAAUAAUCAUAUCUCUUAUAUUCAAGUCACUAUCUAACCAAUAUAGGCCCACUAAACUUCAAUUAGUCUUGUGGUACUAAUUCUAGUAUCUAGAACGUUUCGAGACACGUUGACCAAAAGUCAACUCUCGGUCAACGGUAGGGUACACAACAUUU